UACGUAGGGUGCAAGCGUUGUCCGGAAUUAUUGGGCGUAAAGAGCUCGUAGGCGGUUUGUCGCGUCGGCUGUGAAAGCCCGGAGCUCAACUCCGGGUCUGCAGUCGAUACGGGCAGACUUGAGUGUUGCAGGGGAGACUGGAAUUCCUGGGUGUAGCGGUGAAAUGCGCAGAUAUCAGGAGGAACACCGAUGGCGAAGGCAGGUCUCUGGGCAUUAACUGACGCUGAGGAGCGAAAGCAUGGGGAGCGAACAGG
rnacentral:rRNA from 1 species